rnacentral:rRNA from 1 species
UACGUAGGGGCUAGCGUUAUCCGGAAUUACUGGGUGUAAAGGGAGCGUAGGUGGCAAAGUAAGUCAGAUGUGAAAGCCCGUGGCUUAACUGCGGGAUUGCAUCAGAAACUGCUUUGCUAGAGUGCGGUAGAGGAGACUGGAAUUCCUGGUGUAGCGGUGAAAUGCGCAGAUAUCAGGAGGAACACCGGUGGCGAAGGCGGGUCUCUGGGCCGGUACUGACGCUGAGGAGCGAAAGCGUGGGGAGCGAACAGGCUUAGAUACCCU